CUAAUGGGAAAGCAGGAGAAUUGCGAAGUGACCUUGUUUCAUAGAUCUCUACUGUGACACUGGAACAGGACUUUCUACUGAGAAUUGAGGAAAUUCCCACUCAACACUUACACCAUGAAGAAAAGUCAGCAAGAUCUGCAUCAGGAAAAACUCACAUCUGUUGUCAUGGGAAAAACAAGGAUGUCAAAAUGACACUCUGAGCCUGGAAUGAAGUUCUUCUUUACUGACACAAAAGGUGGUUACAUAGCUGACUGCGGCUGCAUGAUUAAGUGUACAUCAAUGGAACUUAAGCAGAAAUGAUGUCUGUGCUUUCUGUCCUUGAGUCCUGAGGUAGUGGGUGUACCUCUUCCAUGAUUUCUUCCCCUUAUCUACUGGCUGGACCCAGACUUGGUGGCAAUCCAUCCUCAACCAUGUAGAUGAUUCCUUGACCUGGGGAUGACUGAGCAGCUGGACAGGAGGGACUUUGCAUGAGGAGUGAUCACAAAGGUCAGAGCACUCCCCUGACCAUUGCUUUCCCCAGCUUGUCACAUGAGAGAGAAAGAAAGUCUAUUAUCUUCAUUAAGUCACUGCAUGUUGGGAUCUUUCUGUAAUAGUAUUUAACCUUAUUCUAAUCAAUGUAAAAACAAAUUGGACAAUGUGUGUAUCUCAUAUGAUCUAAACUAGAUUAUUGAAGCAGAAUUAGCAAGUGAGAGAAAGCAUAAAAAAUGUACUUGAGGUUAGGGAAGAGUAACAAAAUGAAAUGAGAAAGAACUAUAACAAUAGUGGAAACAUUAGAUUCAAACUGACACGAUUUUCCACCUUCUGACUUUCUCCACAUUUAAAGGGAAGGCUCAGGUGCUUCUGAUAGAUCUUAUUGUUUGGAUUGUGUAUACUUCCUACAUGUUAACAUUUCCCAUAGUCAAUUUUGCUUUUAAAAAAUGGGAAAUUUAUAAAUAUCUGUUCAAAAUUAAGGGAAAGCUAAGUAAAUUAUAGUGUCUACAUAUUGGAAUACUGUGUAGUCAUUAGACAUGAUGUUAAUAAAGGGUUUUUAAUGAUGAGAAGAUAUUUCUGUUAUAAUGUUAAUUUUAGAUUCAAACAAAAUUGUACAUAUAUUGUGUAUCUUAAGUAUGUGUACUAUAAAACUUGUACAGAAAAAGAUCAGGAGGAAAAUCUGACAAAAUGUUUUGCUAUGUUUAGGGAUCAAGAUUACCUUUUCUCAUAUUUUCUGAAUCUUCUUCAAAUGUUUGUUACUCUUCUAAAUAAACAAAAAUCAAUUAUUUUUCAUUGAAUUUAUUCAUAGCUUUCACCCACAUUUUAUUGAUGCAUUAUAAUUAUACAUAAUGGUGAAAUUCAUUGUUACAUACUUGUGGAUGCACAAGCUAUAGCAAUAAAAUUUGGCCAAUAUCCUUCCCUAAUAUUUCCCUUUUCCCAUCUCCCCUCCCUCCCCUUGGUCCCUUUCCUUUACCUUGCUGAUCUCCCUUCUAUUUUCGUUAGAUCCUUCCCACCUUUCUUUUUCUUUAUAUUAUAGCUUUUUACCAGAUCUUCUUUCACGAUUAAAAAUUUGUGCCUAAAUCAUAUGUUUUUCUUUGACCUUGUAGCGUAUCUGUUGAUCUAUGACACAUAGCAGAGUUGGCAAACUACAGCCUGCAGGCCAAAUGUGACUUGCUCCUGUUUUUGUAAAUAAAGUUUCAUUGGAACACA